ensembl:lncRNA LINC00539 long intergenic non-protein coding RNA 539
AUGAUAUGCAGUUCCUGAGCAGUGUUGGGACUCAAAGACGUUUAUGGCAGCUCAUCAGCCUGCAUCCAGUGCUUCAAAGGGUUCUAAGAGACUGGCUCAGCCAACUGCCAGCCUGGUCAUUUCGAAACUGAAAUGAAAGCAGCAGAGAGAGUUAUAUUUAUCAACUGAGUGAGACUUGCUUUUCUCAACAGGAUAUUUACGUUGUGAACUGGUAAAAUCUGAACUGCAGAAUAUCAAUUUCCAGACAUUCUUCCUAGAUGAUGCCGUCUGCCACGGGUAAGGAUUCAUGAGACCUGAGCAGCCAGCCAGCCCUGAAAUGGUUGGAACAGGAGAAAGAAGAAGAGCUCGACAGAUACCCUGCCUGGGCUGGCAGCUAGCUGCACCACAAGCUGGCCAGCUGACAGCGGGCACAUCCCUUCAUCACCCAGUGCCUUUCUUCCCUCUUGUGAAAAUGGAGAUAUGCUGAGAAGGUUACUUCAGCUCAUCCAGAGAAAGCUUCUUCAGCUAACUAGGCUGUAGAAAGGGCCUACAGCCUAAAUUUUCAAAAACAAGUUAAUGCCAGAAUAUAAACUCCGUGAAGUAACAGAUUGUGUCGGUUUCAUUCCUGCAUGUAUCCCUGGUGCCUAGACAGUGUCUGGCACACAGUAGGUGCUCAACAUUGACUGAAUGUGAGGGAAAAACCUAUGUAGUUCAAUACUAUGUAGACAAGAUCAUAAAUGAUCACUAUUUAAAUUGUGUGUGUUUUCCUUGACAUGAGUAACCAAGAGUCGGCUCCUUCAGGCUGAUAGAAAAUCCUGCUUCCUGGAAAUGAGCAAAUAGAAGAGAUAUCUGCAUUUCCAUGGUUGUUGCAGCUCUGUUCACAACAUCCAAGAUUAGGAAGCAACCCAAGUGUCCAUGAACAGAUGAAUGGACAAAGAAAAUGUGGUACUUACAAUAGAGUGCCAUUCAGCUAUAAAAAAAGAAUGAGAUUAUGGCCAGGCAUGGUGGCUCACACCUGUAAUCCCAGCACUUUGG